rnacentral:rRNA from 1 species
UCAUUACUGAGAGAGGGGCUUCGCGCUCCCGGGGGUCUCGGCCCCCAACUCUUCACCCUGUGUGUACCUACCUUUGUUGCUUUGGCGGACCUCGGGGGUCCCCUCCGCACCGGCUUUCGGGUCAGUGAGUGUCCGUCAGAGUCCUAUUUAAAUUCUGUUUAUCAGUGCCGUCCGAGUACAAACUAUAAAUUAAGUAAAAACUUUCAACAACGGAUCUCUUGGUUCCAGCAUCGAUGAAGAACGCAGCGAAAUGCGAUAAGUAAUGUGAAUUGCAGAAUUCAGUGAAUCAUCGAAUCUUUGAACGCACAUUGCGCCCCUCGGUAUUCCGGGGGGCAUGCCUGUUCGAGCGUCAUUACACCCCUCAAGCUUGGCUUGGUAUUGGGUCCUCGCCCCCGUGGCGUGCCCGAAAAGCAGUGGCGGUCCGGCGUGGCUUUAAGCGUAGUAAAUAUCAAUCCCGCUUUGAAAGCUUGCGUCGUGGCUUGCCAGGCAACCCUACGUAUAAUUACGUAUGCUUCAAUAACUUGACCUCGGAUCAGGU